rnacentral:rRNA from 1 species
CACGUAGGGGGCAAGCGUUGUCCGGAUUUAUUGGGCGUAAAGAGCUCGUAGGUGGCUCGGUAAGUCGGGUGUGAAAUUUCGAGGCUCAACCUCGAAACGCCACCUGAUACUGCUGUGGCUUGAGUCCGGUAGGGGAGCGUGGAAUUCCUGGUGUAGCGGUGAAAUGCGCAGAUAUCAGGAGGAACACCGGUGGCGAAGGCGGGUCUCUGGGCCGAUACUGACGCUGAGGAGCGAAAGCGUGGGGAGCGAACAGG